AUGAACGCUAGCUACAGGCUUAACCCAUGCCAGUCGCGGGGAAACGACAUCGAAAGCUUGCUUUUGAUGGGCGUCGACCGGCGCACGGGUGAGUAACGCGUAUCCAACCUGCCCACCACUUGGGGAUAACCUUGCGAAGGUAAGACUAAUACCCAAUGACGUCUCUAGAAGACAUCUGAAAGAGAUUAAAGAUUUAUCGGUGAUGGAUGGGGAUGCGUCUGAUUAGCUUGUUGGCGGGGUAACGGCCCACCAAGGCGACGAUCAGUAGGGGUUCUGAGAGGAAGGUCCCCCACAUUGGAACUGAGACACGGUCCAAACUCCUACGGGAGGCAGCAGUGAGGAAUAGUGGUCAAUGGACGAGAGUCUGAACCAGCCAAGUAGCGUGCAGGAUGACGGCCCUAUGGGUUGUAAACUGCUUUUAUAAGGGAAUAAAGUGAGUCUCGGGAGACUUUUUGCAUGUACCUUAUGAAUAAGGACCGGCUAAUUCCGUG
rnacentral:rRNA from 1 species